GGGAACUUAGCUCAGUUGGUAGAGCAGCGGACUCUUAAUCCGUCGGUCGAGAGUUCGAAUCUCUCAGUUCCCACCA
rnacentral:tRNA from 2 species